GACAUUUCCCAGCCCUUUGUUCUAAACAGACAGCAGUGAGGCAGCACAACCUAAGGGGGACUGCCCCACAGGUGCAGAAGGUGGGCAAUUAAGGAGACUGAAGAUCUGCUUGGCAGAGCAAGGCAACCUACUUUAUAGAGUGCUCAACAGGGACUUUGAAGAGGACCCUCAUCUUGCUGUGUCAGCCAUAAAAGCAGAGCAGAGCAAAGCAACUCUCUCCACUUUUUCCCCUUGACAGCCUUCAGCUGUGGAGGGGAGCUCACAGCUGAAGACCUGAUGGCCCCCACUAGGGCUGGAGGAGAAGUCCUUAGCUGGGUUAGGUUAGCUUGUGCCAAAAGGACAGGCUGCCUUAAUUCACCGUGCAGCCAAUGCAGAGAGGCAAGGCCUCGGUGUUGAUGCUCGGAUGAGAUCCCCUGUGCUUAGGAGAAGGUGGAGGUGGAGGCACUCAGAGGAAAACAAAGGAAUGGAAGGAACAGGUGGGUUCCAAGUAUAGCUAUAUAGAGCCACAGCAUAUUUGUCUUUUUCAUGCUUGUGCCUGCUCUAAUACCUGUUCUGCAUCCCAUGAGGCCUGCAUUCAACAACCAAGCUUUAGGUGACAAUUGGCUCCUUCCUCAGCCUUCCUAGUGAAGGAAGGUAAGGGACUUUGUGAGGAUUUUCUACAAGCUGAAGAAAAACAGCAGCAAAAGUUCUUCCCGGAGCCCAUGAGGGGAACAGGGCAGCUUUCAGGUGAGCAGUAAACUACUCUUGCAGAUCUGAAGCUGGCUUGAAGAUUAGGGUUGAACCAUCAAUUUUCUAUGUCUCAGAAGAAAGAGGAGCUCCCCAGGCACUACCUGGGGCCUUGGGUCUGCCCUGUGAGAGCUGAGCAGAGAAUCCACAGGAUGGAGAAGUCUUGACUAUGAUGUGCCCCUGAGAGGGGGUGUAUGUACCAUGGUUUCUGUGAAGUUACAGCUUGGAGGAAACAGUUUGGAUGGGUCUCUCGCUCUGCUGCCUUCUUGAUUAACUGCAAUCAACAAGGGGGAAGAGGACUUUGUACUGAAACCCUCUGCUCAAUACCUAGCAGCGAUUUUUGCUUUUUUUCCUUUCUUCUCCCUCUCGAAAAAUUAAAAAGUGUGAGGAUGCAUGAAGAUUGGAAUAGAAAUCAUUGACAAUCUUAUCAUACCACUGUAUAAAUCAAUAAUAUGCACUUGACUGGAAUAAUAGUGAUUGCUACAUCCUAUGAAAGCUAUAACAGGUUGAGGUGGGAUUUAAAACUUUGAGACCAACCUUUUUUAAAAGAUGCCCAGAUAAGCUAUGGGCUGCUUCAGUGAGCAGAAGUGGGCUGUGUCAAAGUCUCCAACUGCAGCCCUGGAGUUGAAGAAAAGAUUUCCAACAGGACAGUUCCAGCCUGGUACUCCUGUACUACAAACACACAUGAAAGGCAGAUGUUGUGGGAUGUGACUGUUGUAACCACGAGGGAGAGGACAAGUCUAGAGCUGAGAGCUUUGGAGUCGAACCUUGCUGUAAGCAUGAUAGUACCUUCAGUGCUAUUAAAAGAAGCUUCAGUUUGUGGAGGCAGACUCCAACUCAAGGUAUCUGUGCUGAGGGAUACGACCCUCUACUACUUCAACUGCAGCCUGAAUUUUAGAGGGAAUAGAAGGCAGGGAGAUAAACAACAAAGAAUGAUGGAGCAUCACUCAGUCUGUGAAAAUAUUUUUUCCCCUGUCUCAGCAUGAAAUAGCUCCAGUGGCUGAAGAACCGUGGUUGGAAGGUGGUGUGGCAAGGAUCUGGUUAGCUAGGCCUGAUGGUCACUCCCAAUGAAGCAUGUCUCUGGUUUUGCUCUUUCUAACACGGCAUUUUACACUGAUGCAAGGUCCUGGAGUGGUGGAUAGCUCUGUGCAGAUAGACCAACUACUUGGGUAGCUGGAGGGCAAAACUUCUGGCCACUCCAGCAUAAUCCUUGAUGGAAAAAUUUCCUCAACUGGAAAGAAGCCAGUCAGAGCUGUCCCAUCCUCGUCAAGGAUCAUCUAGGGAGAUGUGAGGGGGAAACAAACUCACAGGAGGAGAUGUGAGGAUGAUUGAGAAAGGGAUACAUAAGAAGAUACAGGAGGAGGAGGCACAUAGAAGAGAACAUUGUCAAAGAUGCAUCAUCUCAUGGGUGGCCCACACUAGAACAGGAAAUACCCAAAAGGAACUGCAGCUUGUGGACAACCUGGAUAGGAGACAAGCAGGAAGGAAGGAAGGGAGAAAGAAAACAGUAAGAAAUAAGAAGCUGCAGCAAGAAAGCAUCAUCUACCAACCCAGUCUCCUGAGCUGUCCAUCAUCUCGCCCAAGGGGUUUGCUGUGAGUAAGUCUUUGGGCUUUCUAAUCCUCCCUGAUUGUCUUUAAAGUAAUGAACCUUAAUAUGUUCCACAUGGCAGCUUUCCUUUACUGUGACAGCUGAGUUCAGCUGAAGAUCUGCUUCCUGCAUGUUCACAGAGGGAACAGGGAAGGGACUCCAAGAGAUCAGCUGAGCAACACUGUCUUGACGAGGUCUGAGGCAGCCGUGACGCAGCUGAACAAAUCUUCACCUCAAGCAGCCUGCUGUAUCAAGUUUAUAUGGGAGAACUGGGCUAUAAAAACUGCAACUCCGUGCUGCUACAACAGUGCUAAAGUGGCCAGAUGGAUGUCAACCUAGCAAUAUCAGGGCUCCCAAAUCUGUGCAGUGACAUCUGAUGGCAUAUUUAGUGCUGGUGCUCAGAUGGACUUUGCUGCAAUGUUUCUUGAACACAGCUGCUAGUCUGUGAGUUUUCUUUAUUAAUGAAUCACAAAGAGGCACUGGGACUGGAUGUAUAGUUAUAAGUGAUUGCUCUGCAAAUGUAUUUUUUCCUCUUUGGCUUCUAAAUUACCUGCUUAGUAUUUUAGGGUUUGCAAGUUGAUGGAAGGGCUGUGCCUAAGGGCCAUUUGAGCUUCUGGAAAUCUCCCCCAUAAAGAAGUUCUCUGUGAACCUUUUAGGGGUGAGUUUUGUUUGGGGGGUUCUGUGGAUGUCUGUCCAGAGGCUGUCAGUCGCUUUAUGACCAUAUGUUGGCAUCUGAUGUGAAGAUGGAUUCCAAAAAAUAUGCAAAGCGUGGUACCUGCUUGUACCUUUAAAGAGCUCAUGAAUCUUGAGCAUCCGUGCUCGGGUUUAUUUUAUAUCUUAGAAUGAAGUUUUCUAAGCAGGUGUUAUGCAAGGCCUGAGGUAGGGUAUGAGUUUCACUGAAUUUCAUGUGUCUUAGGCACUUCUGAAAAUAUCACUGGGUUUUGCAUAGUUCCUUUUAUUUCUAAGGCUCAAGGCAACUAUUUCCUAACCAACCAUCAACAUCAGCAAAUGCUCCUGUAAUUGUACUUUUGUUUAUUGCUUUAUUUGCAGACAAUUUUACUAAUUAUUUUUAAUAUAGCUUUUAUUUCUUUUUAAAGUUUACAUAUGAUAAUAGUAUUCAAACAUAGCAUUAGUAUCCAUCCAUUCUAUUUCUUAUACUCUUUUCUGUGAAAGUUGUGUGAACCUAUAGAAAAGCAACUGCACAAGCAGAAAAAUUAAUUUCAGCACAUGGAUUCAGAAAAAAACACCUAUGUUCUUUCUGAAAAUUUGUGGAGUGAUAGAGUCCUAAAAACAAGUGUCACGGUGUGAGGUAGUAAUCAAAAACCUGCUCUGCAGGAUGAAUUACACCUCAGAGUUUUCCUUAUGUGAGACCAUGGGAUGCGUGCUGGGUAAUUUCCUUAUGGGUGGAAGUAAAGAUGUGUGUUAGGUGUUCCAGUAUUAGGAUAUCUCUGGGGUGAGUUGCUGAAUAUCCCUGGUCCUUCACUCUUGGAUCAUCCCUGUUGCUGGUAAGUGUGAAUCAGGCAAUUGGUUCUGAGUGUAUGAUAUAAAUUUUCUGAGAUUAAUCUGCAGAGUCUCUUGCCAAGCAUCUAGUGCCUGCUAAGCUGUUUCCUGCAGAAGCCAGGUGGGCACUUGGCAAGAGCUGUGCAUUAACAGCAGGAAGUGCCAGUUCAGAUUGGAUCAUGUGCAACCCACCAACCACCCCAGUCCUGACAGUGCUGUUUGUAUAGAGAUGCUGUUCCACCACCACAGGGGCCUGGGGACUCUGGCACAUCCCAUUGCCACUUGAGGACACAGACUCUGGUGUUUUGGCAGCUGCAUACAGUAGUGAGUAAGAAAACACAGGCAGUGUCACUGUGGUGUCUGAGGGUUCAUCCGGGAGCUAAUGCUUUGCCCAGAAAGUAAGGAAUAAGUUUUUGUUGACAUUUCUACAUCAUCCACUCAGUUGAAGUACAGGAAAGUGAAGUUGCAUGUAUUUGGGAUGACACCAUUACAUGCAUGGAAUUAGGAUCCGUUUUCCCAUUUAUCUCCAACUUAUGCCUCACAGUCCAAGUUGUGCAUGGUCUUUAAUGAUUCUCAGCUUCACAUUUCUAAGAUCUCACCUAAGUGUGCCUUGGAGGAUGUACUAAACUCUGACUCACAAUCAAGGCAAAUUUCAGCAUCCUAGAAAGCUUGGGCCACGACUCCAAACAUGGCACUGGCUACACAAAAAAAGCUGUGUUCAGGAUGCACCUCUGAGUGUCUCUUUGCAGUAAGUGACCAUGGGCACAGCAAGUUAUUUUAAGGCUUUGAGUGGCUGCUGUUCCUGCUGUUCCUUAGAACCUGGCAUCAGCCAAGUAAUGCUGUAGCUGUGGGUUGGAGGGCUCCUACAGAGACCACAUAUCAGAGGAAAAGGAGAGAGAGAGAUCAGCAUCUAGCUUUUUAUGAUGUGCUUCAUUCUUGUGUCGUGUCAUUCCUGCUUUCUCCUCUUGCCUGUUUUUUGCUUUCUCUUUCACAGCUCUAAUGUCUGUUUGUUAAAAUAAUCUUUUUUUCUCUGCAUGAGCUUCUGUCAUUAGAUGAAAGGUCAUGGAUAUAAUAUGAAUCUGGAACAAUAAACACAGAGCAAAAUGGAUUGAAAUAUACAGAGCAAAGGGUUACCAAUUAAAAAACACUUUGCCAAGCUUGCACUGAACAGACAGCCAUGCAGCCUCUAAUUUCUCUUUGUUUAUAAUUAGCUGCCAUUGAAACUUAAUUACUUUCAGGACUGAAAUAAGUGAAAAUUAAAAUAAAAAAGGGAAUUAAUCUUUUACUGAAAGGUAUCUGCAUAGCAUCCGUUCCAUGGGCACAGAAGACAAAUUCAGGUUCUUCAUAUCUGGAAAUCAGAGAUGGAAAAGCGGUAUGUGAGUAAAUCUGUUAUCUUGGAUGUGUUCUUGAGUUGCUUUGAAAGCUCUGCCUCUGAAGUCUAUAUUCCAAAGGUAUAUGGAUAUUCUUUUCCAGCUGAGGUUCCUGAUGUGCCAGUAUGAUGUGAAGGAUAGGUACUGCAGAAAGCCAGAAGCUCUGCUCCCCAUUCAAGAGCAUCUCCACACGUCCCCUUCCAGCAGGCCAUUCCCACAUAGUUCAGAGAACCUUCCUUCAGGGAUUCAUCAGUCCUGAGUGCCUUAAAUGAUGGUGGUCUAAUGACUUCUCUUUUCCUAUCCAGCUAGCUGAAUUUUAAAAUUAGUUAUUUGGGACUAUGUUUCCUGAAUUAAUUAUUUUCACCUCUUUUAGCCUGCUCACGAGAGAGACAUGAGUUGUUACAGUGCACGAGUUUCGGAUAUCUACAUAUAAGGGUUUCCCACAACCAUCCAUUUUGCUGGGAUUUCUAUUCCAGUUAGAGCACACAUCAAUCACAAAUGUAUUGUUUUGGGCAGUUGGAUGUUUCUAUAUGCAAGUGACAGUAUAGUUAACUCUUCUAAAAUUCAGUCCUCUUGUACUUAAGAAUAUGGAUAAGCCAUAAUUCUGGUGGGGGGUUGGGAAAACCAUCAAAGAACUAAAGGCUGGGAUUUCUAGUGCUGGUUGUUAUUGAUGCCCCUGUUUUUAGAGCCCCACACUUGAAAGUUAAGAAAGCAGUGUUUCCUCUUGGCAAUUCUUGCUGUGCUUUCAAUGGAUAAAACUUUCAGUGUGUUUUCAAGUUGGGCAUCUGGAAAAGCAUGCAUGCUUUCAAGUUUUCAAGACUUGAAUCAGUCUCCACAAGGGACUGUGUGCAUCUCCUUUGAGAUAAGCUGCAAGAAUCUUGGAGAGGGAGAAAUGGCUUCUACACAGGUAGCAAAUUAAACUUCCAAUGCAAAGAAGGCAGGCAUAAGUCUCUCAUUCCUCAUAUUCACCCAAGAUCCAUGAAUCAAGCAAAUAGAUAUUUUCAUCUGUCACAUGAUUAUUAAUUAUAUCAGUAGACUACCCUCCAUGGCAGUGGAAGUCUUUGUAUAUUUAAGAGAACAUGACAGGUUGUGUUAAUUCCAGGCAAAAAUCAUGUUCCCACUCCUUCAGCAUGAGGAAUAACCUUCAAAAUGCAAACGAGUUUUGUUCUUCAAAAAGCACAAGAUCUUAAUGGUGAUUUUUGAGAUAAAGGGAAGCCCUUUUGAAUCUAACUGGUAUAUGAGGACUGUUUCUACAGCAUUACAUUUAGGACUUCCCUUCUUUUUUUGGCACCAUAGUAUGGAAAUUCUCAUAAGAAAGAAGAUUUGAGUCUGAUUUUUAAGUAGAAAAUGGAGAAAUGCUUUAAUAGGGCAAAUGCUUUAAUAGGGCAGAGGAGCAAUAGAGGAAAAUUUAGGAAAAAUGCAGUAGGCUUGUUAUAUAACUGUAUAUAAUAUCCCAACUGUUGGUAACUUUUACCACCACCCAAAGCUGAAACCAAGACCUACAAAGCAGACUUGUGGGAAACAAUAGCUAGUGACAGGAAUAUAGGUAAUGGGUUCAAGGAAGGAGCUGCUCCGUAGAGAAAUAGACACUGGUAGCUUGUGAUAUUUUUGUCUGGGGAAAGAAGCGGGGUUUGUAGUCCUAGUAACUAGCUACUGUUUUUGUUUUCUUGGUAUGGCUUUGUAGGAGAAGAAUGUGCAAGCAUCUGGACCACCUAUCCAUCCUCUGACCUCUACUGCCAGUGUUAUUAACUACUGUUAUACAAAAGUGUAAUGACAUAUAGGUUCAUUCUCCCUGGUUACAGUUCUGGCACUACUUCUACAAAGUUUUGGAUGGGUCCAUUAGACCUCCUUGUAGGCUGCUUCCAGCUUUUUUUUCUAGACAGAGAGCUAAGUGAGAUAUCCUUAAUUCUUCCCAACAAUAGAAAAAGGGCAGCCUGCCAUUUGAGGAGCCAGGCUUCCUUUGAGCCAGAGAAGCAUGGGCAUUCCUAUGCCAGAUGAGUAGGGUUCUUGGGGAAGGUGGCUGGGGGAAGCUUUUGGAGGGCCAGGAGGGAAGUACAGCAAUUUCAUUUCACUUGGAGUCACCAUGGCAGCAAAUUACUUCUCCUUCCUUCCUCCACCUUCUUUAAAAAGAAAAUGGGGAGUAACAAUGGCAAGCAUGGCCUUCAGCUAGAGUGAGCAGUAGAAACUCAUUUACAGCUGAAAAAUAUAUAGAAAAGAAGUCAGGAAACCAUGGAAUGAUUUGUAAAAGGAGCAUGGUUUUCUUGUUUGCUGCUCCAUUCACUGUCUUCUCUGUUAAUCUCUGAGAAGAGAGACAGGCCAUUUUCUGAGCCAAGAACAAUUUACCUGUGUGCUGGCACACAGUUAAGAGCAAUUUAGAAAACAACAAAAAAAAUCACAUUCCAAAUUAACAUUUAGCUGGUGACAUUAAGGGAAUUCUUUUUUUCUCUUUUCCCCUCCCAUUCAGAAGUUAAAAAGCAGGAUCCUUCUUGCUCCCUGAACGGAUCAGAGGAGCAUGCUGCUUACAGAGAUGGGGUGUGAGGUGCCCUGAAGGAAUGAAGAAGCUGACCCUUGCAAGGCAUUUAUGGGUGCAGAGUCCCAUGGGUGCAUGUUUGGCACAUGUUGCUAGCAUAGACAAUCUGGCCCUCUGGGCAUGUUGGCACUUCAGGUAUCCCAGUACAGGCGCUUCUGUGGGGAGAUGCAGCUGCACAUGUGAAAAUUGUGGGGUGUGUUUGAACUCACCUCUGACAUCUUGAUCCUCGUGCAUUUCCAUUCAGGUGCAGGCAUUACUCUGAAAUGUUGAGAAUCCCCCAUACUGGAGUUUUUGCACCAGUGCUGACAUUGUGACUCUGAUGUUUCAGCAUCCUUUCACAUUAUUGUAGUAUAGAUAUUACUAAGAAAUUAGUGCCACUAACGCUAGGACUUAUACUUUUUAAGCCAUGAGUUUUUGCCAGCAAGAUUGUUAGCUGUUUUAGAGAGAAGGAGGAUUAUAACCAGAAUUCCUCCUUGAUAUGGAGAAAGAGUCUUGGAUCAGUAGGUGAGAAAGCUGUUCCUCCCUUCCCAUCCACCUCUGGUACCCCCAUAAGUAAAGCAGUGUCCAAGGAAUCAUGUGAGCAUAUAAUUUCCAGCUGCUGAUGCAUUCACCUUUCCUCUGGCCUCUCUUCAGCAAUUCCAUAAAGCAUGUAUGGCUGCAAGCUGGACUGGAGAUAACAGAUUCUCCUAAUUCUUCAAAUUACUUUUCAAUAUGACACUGCCAGGAGGUAGAAAACUCAUCUCCUAAAUCUCACAACCUUAUGGGGAGCUGAAGCUACAUGGGAGUCUCCCAAUCCAAUGACCAAAGCACAUCUUUGAAGCUCUUCUUGGGACAGGAUUGGGCCUGCUGCCAGGUCCAGUAUCCAUUUGGCCUAUGUGGCCAUGAUGUGACACAACAUGUGUCCCAGCCUCUGCAGAGAAGUUUGGUGUGAUGGUCUCAGGAGUCAUAAACUGGCUGCCUUGAAAGAAUGGUAUGGCCUCUGCCACCAGUGCUUUCUUGCUUUACUGAACAACAAGAAAUGUCUUGCCAACAUAUCAGCAUCUGGUAGGAAUGCUUGGAGCAAGUCAGGAUAACCUUACUUGUCUCUGUCGGUGGAGAAAGCAUAUGCCCUGCAAUAGCCCAUGCACCACCUUCUCCCUGGGUAAGAAGGGUAUCCCCUUCUGCCUGCCAGCUCUGAACUCCCUCAAACCCACAUCAAGGUCAAUACCUGACAUGAGCCAACCAGUGACAUAGAGCCUGGUGAAGCUGGGAGAAAGGGAAAAAGCCAAGCUGUUUAGAUGGAAUGGAGUAUGGUCUCUUCAUGGGGCUGGGACAGUCUCACCUCCACCCAAGGGGAUGCUUGUGCAAAAGUGUUAGGAGCUAGGCAUGAGAGUCAUCCUAAAUCUGUUCAGCUGUGCUCACCACAACACCAGGGACCAGGAAAGCUGACCAGAUGGUUCUCUCUUUUCUUACAGGCCUGAAGGGCUUGUAGGCAUGUGGGUGGCAGCAUUCUUUUUGU